rnacentral:rRNA from 1 species
AUGGGCUUCAUGGGGGCGAAGCUGUUCCCGUCGUGCGAGAGCAUGUGCGUCUGCUGCCCGGCGCUGCGCCCGAGCUCGCGCCGCCCCGUCAAGCGGUACAAGAAGCUGCUCGCUGAGAUAUUCCCCAAGACGCCUGAGGGUCCCCCAAAUGAGAGGAAAAUCAUGAAGUUAUGCGAGUAUGCUGCCAAGAAUCCCCUGCGCAUUCCAAAGAUUGCCAAGUUUCUGGAACAGAGGAGUCGCAAGGAGCUGCGCGCUGCUCAUUUGAACUAUGUCAAGAUAAUCACUGAAGCAUACAGCAAGCUACUCUUCAUUUGUAAGGAGCAGAUGGCAUAUUUUGCCAUCAGCCUGGUGAACGUCCUUACCGACCUUCUGGAAAGCAAGCAGGAGAACAUUCAUAUCCUUGGAUGUCAAACUUUAGCGAGGUUUAUUUACAGCCAGGUAGACAACACAUAUGCACGAAAUAUUGAGAGCUUGGUCCACAAAGUGUGCACACUUUCACGGCAACAGGGAGUGGAGCAUAGUCUUCUGCGUGCAGCAAGCCUACAGUGUCUCUCAGCAAUGAUCUGGUUUAUGAAGGAGCAUUCAUACAUAUUUGCUGAUUUUGAUGAGUUGAGUUCCAAAUUGCUCAACCUGGUUGCUUGCUUAGUUGCUCGUUUGCACCAGAUGGUGCAGUCGGUCUUGGAAAAUUAUAGGAUGGAUGGAACUGCUGGUGGUGAUGAUGACAGACAUGCAUCACAGCAUAACUGGGUUGAUGAAAUAGUCAGGCGUGAGGGAAGAGCUGGUUUAGGUGGAGGUAAUGAUGUAAAUUUCUGUGGUGCAACAACUACUAGACUGCGAUCAGCAAGGGACUCUUCAGCACUGACCAGGGAGGAGCGUGAAUCUCCAGAAGUAUGGUCCCAUAUUUGUGUUCAGAAGCUUGUGGAACUGGCCAAAGAGAGUACAACUAUGCGACGCAUCCUUGAUCCAAUGUUUUCUUACUUUGAUAUGAAGAAACAAUGGGCUCCUCGGCAUGGAUUAGCUUUGCUUGUCUUGUCUGAUAUGUCUUACCCAGAGAAGAGUUCAGGCAACGAACGAUUGAUUUUGACUACUGUCAUCCGUCAUCUGGACCACAAGAAUAUUUUGCAUUGUCCUCAGACUAAAUCUGAUAUUAUUCAGACAGCAACAUCUUUGGCACGGCAGCUGCGAUCACGAGGAGUUUCUCCUGAACUUGCAGUAGCAGGUGACUUGUGCAGGCACUUGAGGAAAACACUAGAGGCCAUGGAGUCAGCCAGUGUUGCAGAGCUGAGCUUGAAUGAGUCUCUUCAAAAUUUCCUGGAGGGCUGUCUUGUUGAAGUCGUAAGAGGAGUUAAAGAUGUGCGCCCACUUUAUGACAUGAUGGCAAUUACAUUGGAGAAUUUGCCUUCUAUUCCUGCUGUUGCUAGAGCAACUAUUGGAAGUUCGCUGAUACUUUGCCACAUAAUCUCUUUGACAUCAGUAUCUUCGGACGCUCCUAUGGUGUUUCCGGAAGCACUCCUCCAGCAGAUAUUGAGAUCCAUGGUACAUCCAGAUGCAGACACUCGUGUGGGGGCGCACCACAUAUUUUCUGCUGUAAUUGUCCGAGGCCCAAGCCAUCAGAGGGGUGAUUCAGAGUACCUAUUUGCAACAAAAAAGUGUCAAUCUCGAUCACCAUCAGUGUUUUCUUCAGCUACUGCUCUACUUGAGAAGUUAAGGAGAGAGAAAGAAUGCUUAGGUUCAGAUAAGCCUGGACAUAUGAUGCAUGAUGAUGGGAAGGAAAGAAACACCCAUGAAGAGGAUAAUAAGCAUGUUUGGGCACGAAAAAGCCCGGCUUAUUUUUCAAAGUUGGUCUUUUCUUUCGUCGAUCGAUGGGCAACACUAGCUAGUUCUGCUGAGGAAACCAAAAUCGUCCUGUUAACUGAAGAUCAAACAAAUCAAUUGCUGUCUGCGUUUUGGAUACAGGCCAAUCAGACCGAUAACACUCCUUUUAAUUAUGAGGCCAUUGGUCAUUCAUACAGCCUCACUGUUCUUUCUUCCCGCCUUAAGAAUUCAAGCAACAGUAAUAACAUUCAGUUCUUCCAGUUGCCUCUGUCCCUCCGAAGUAUUGCUUUAACUCCAAGUGGAGGCCUGCCCCCUUCUUGCCAACGGUCUAUUUUUUCCUUAGCAACGAGUAUGCUGGCUUUUGCUGGAAAAGUCUGUCAUAUUGUUGAAUUGGCAGAGUUGCUAAGGUGUUUUACCUCAUCCAAUAUUGAUUCUUAUCUAAGAAUUGGUGAAGACUUGCAACUCUAUGUAAGGUUGCAAUCGGAUCUUGGCAGCUAUGGUUCUGAAAGUGAUCAAGACGUUGCUAGGUCUGUACUUUCUGAUUGCAGAAAGAAAGUGGGAAUAAAUGAUCAGCAAGUGCUUGAUGUGAUUGCCUGUGCACUUUCAAAUUUAACUGAGAUGGACAAGGAUGCAGUGGCGAAGGAGCUCACAGAGAUGUUUACUCCUGAAGAAGUUCCCUUGUUUGGUUCAAAUUCAGCCCUUGACUGGGCCAACUUUCAUGCGCAGGCAUUUUCGGAUGAAUCCCUUUCUUUUGAUGAGGAGUGUUCAAGAACAUCUUCGGUAGAUGGUGGAUUGCAUGACUCACCAAUUACAAAUACUGCUAGCUCCACAUCCAAGAUUACGCUUCCUCAUUCUGCUCCCCGUGUCCUGGGUGUUGGUCAGCUGCUUGAAUCGGCGCUGCAUGUAGCUGGCCAGGUUGCAGGGUCAUCCGUUUCUACCUCCCCCCUCCCAUACGGCACAAUGACUAGUCAAUGUGAGGCCCUGGGAUCGGGCACUAGGAAGAAGCUAUCAAGCUGGCUCGUGAAUGGCCACAACUCGACUCCAGACAAUCCUGUGCCAAGCCUUCCCGCUGCCGACCAUUUCAUCCUUCCUAAGGUAAAUUUGUGUGGCUUCGAGAUCAACCGCACGUCAUCGGAGCCGUGCUCCAUGGUGAAGCUUCCACCGGCUAGCCCAUUCGACAACUUCCUGAAGGCAGCUUAUCGCACCCCGCAGGAGAUGUGA